ensembl:lncRNA
AUUUUGGUACAGCUUGUCUCUGGAGUCAGGUCUGUGAGGCUGUUGUGCAGUCUGCCAGUUGAGGAGCAAAGAGAGGAAGAUGUCUGUCAGUGUGCAGGGAUACUUACAGCCUGAGAGGUUGGAGGGCAGGAAAGGGUGAGGAGAGAAUUUGCACAGGGGCGAGAGUUCGAAUGGCAUGGACGUGUGACAGUAAGACUGGCACAGAGCCAGCAAGCCCACGUUACCGUGCUAGGAUUUUGGCAACACAUGAACCCUCAACCUGAGUUUAUAGUGUCUCCCUCACCCGGCAUUAUGGAACCAUUGUCCCUUUAGUCCCAGUAACCUACAGCCGUACAUCACUGUGUAAUGCACUGACACAUUAGGAAUAGCAUUGCCUCCUCCAGAGCAGUGAAAGAGUGCUGUUCUCAGUGUCUGGCUGACCAUUUUUUUUCUGCCCAGGGAUUUACAUCCCUGCUUGCCAUCAGAGAAAUGCUGCUCUGGCUCUGCUUGGACACCUGCUUCUUCCAGGACUUCUGCUUGCUAGGAGCAUCUCAGAUUUGCAUCGACAACUUGUUUGAAGUGAUGACUUCAAAGGGACUUCCUGCUUCUUCAGGUACGCAAGCCCCUUUCCUGGCCGUGAGACUUCACAGCAAGAUGCUUGAAGCGCAGCCCUAUUUUAGGGUGCAAAGAUGAAAACCAAGCUGUGUGCAUUUUGCAACAAGGCAGCAGUGCCCAGCCUGAGGUUUCUGCCCAAGGGACUUGCCUGCCUGCCUGCCCUCCACCUUCACUCCAGCUCCUGAAACCAGAACACAGGGGCCUGCUUCUUAAUAGCAUGCCACUCUUGGAGGAAACUUGACUACACCUUAUCCAUUACCGCUGCAAAGGGAGCACCAAGGUUUUAGCAAUUCAGGAAAAAGCAGCUUUGCCCUGUCUUCUAAAUUAACUGAAGAAACAGGAUGUGCUAAUUACAUACCCCAAAUAGAAUGCCAGGGCUGGGAACCUUCCACAAAGGUGCCCCUGUGGGAUCUCAGGGACACAGCAACUGUCCCACUUCAUGAGCACAAGUAGCACAUGGCUGAAGCAGAGUACAUGCACUGAGUUUUCUUAGACUCGUAGCCAGCACCAACAGAGUUCCACAGCAGAUGUGUAACGGCAUGCGCUACAAUGCCUAAAACGCAUUAAUGCCCAAAGGAAGCUUUCUUCUAAAUUCUGACCACUGCCAAUUGCCUCACAUCUAGUUUACACGUCAUGUACUGUAGGUGGGGAUGCUCUCAUUGCUCCUGCAGAUGACCCAGCACUUGCUCAGCUUCUGCACGCACGGCCUCAUUGCGGCAAGCCUCGUGCAGAAAUACUUUCCUCACCACCAUAAAGUUGUAGCUUUCAUUGCACCACAGGAUGCUCAGUAGGGGAGGGGGGCACAUAAAAAGAGACAGGGAGUGCUUUUUGAACAGGCUUUUCUCUGGAGGUGAAUGCACAAGUGCUAUGUGCCGCAGACUCGACCGACAGGCCUGUUUAGAUCUCAGCAUCUCCCAUCGGCUGAGGGCCACAGCAGGAGCAGGCACUGCAGGGUUGCACUGAGGGACACUGGAGCAGGAAAGAGCUUGACCUGCCUCUCACAUCUGCAAUGCAAACACUCUUUGCCUGACACGCAAUGGAAAGUGGAGCUGCUGUGACCUGCAUGAUCAAACACUGCGAGAGCACAGUGCAAAAUAUUAGGAAGCUGCUCAGGGAUACAGAUAUUCACCUCUGGAGUGUGAAAGCAGACCGUACCAGUCCACACUGCCUGUGUAGAUAGCACUGCCAAGACAUCGAGGAAAACAUUAUCUCCUCCAUAGCAAUAAACAGCAUUUUAUUUC